AUGGCGCGGGAGCCGGGGUCGAGUUGCAGGCCAGGAGAUCGGUGCACGAGGAGCUCUUCUCCUGACACGAUGCGUGCGCGUUUGAGACUAAGAAAAGAAGAGAAGAAUGGCUUGAGCAAAGGGCGGGUUCUUCAAACAAUUCUGCAAAUAAGAAAGCAUGGUUGGAAGACCCAAGUACCAGCAAAAAUAAGGGUGUUUCUAUGGCGCCUAGCUCAACAGUCCCUGCCCACGGAGGACAUCAGGACGCACUGGAAUAUGGCGACUAGUUGUUCUUGCUGUAUCCAUCUUCUCUUGAAGCAGUGGCUUGUCGAGAAGCUCUUUCUCUCGCAGAAGAUCUUGGACUACAAUAACUUCAUAUUGCAUCGGAUUAACAAAGGGAGUACAUCAUGUAUGAACCAUGUGACGAACGGAACUACCCAACGUUUUCACCCGUUGAUCGAGUCGAGGGCGGCCGAGACGUACGCGCCCGGGCUACCGAGCCGUAACCUGUGUGGACGACUGCACGUUUCCGUUUCGACAAGAGGGAAGAAAAACCUGCGAACGGACGGCUCACGAGUCGCGGGUCCCGGUCCAGCAGGGAGUCUUCCUAGCCCGAGCGAGCGAGCGGUGCCACGCGGCCGCGGCAGGGCACGGUGGCAAGCCGCCAAAAUAGGCAUCCCGGUCUCGCGAGAACCAGCCACCCACAUCACAGCCAAGAAGCGGCGGCGAGGGCGAGCGGGCGAUAAAAUCGCGGCCUCUCUCCUCUCGGCUUCGAUUCCCAUCUUCGCCUCGCCAACUCCAACUCUCUCUCUCUCGCUUCCUCGGCAACAGGACGAACAACUCUGGUACGAACCACCUCACCUCCUUCCCUCGCGACGCUUUUUCCUUCUUUCUCGCGCCGCCGCCUCGUGGAUGUCCGACAAUGCCGUGUUCCGUCCGGGGUUUCGCUUCUUGGCGGCUGCGUCCAUCGGUCUGACGAGAUUGAGUAGCCCUGCUCCCGAUUCAGCCAUCUCUGUCGUCCUGCCUGUACGUCGCGCCGGCUUUAGAUUCUUCCAAGGGUUUCUUCUUCUUUCUUGCGGCGCUUUUAAGGUUGUUCUUGGCGGAGACUCGUUGCCGUUUGGCUGCUGGAACGGACACGCGGAUUCGCUAGGAAUAGAUGCAAUUUUCAGAGAUGUCUCGAUUAGGCUGGGCCGAUGGGGUGACCCUUCCGGGGUGGUUCGUGUGGACAUAGGAGAAGAGAAUCAAGACCACUUGGAUCUUCAACUGUUGUCUCUGAACUUCCAUCAUAUCUGUUUCCUUUUUUGGGGAUGGAACAGUUCUCUCUCCCCCAUAUUCUGA
rnacentral:rRNA from 1 species